rnacentral:rRNA from 1 species
UAUGGAGAGUUUGAUCCUGGCUCAGAGUGAACGCUGGCGGCGUGCCUAAUACAUGCAAGUCGAACGAUGAAGCUUCUAGCUUGCUAGAGUGCUGAUUAGUGGCGCACGGGUGAGUAACGCAUAGGUCAUGUGCCUCUUAGUUUGGGAUAGCCAUUGGAAACGAUGAUUAAUACCAGAUACUCCCUACGGGGGAAAGAUUUAUCGCUAAGAGAUCAGCCUAUGUCCUAUCAGCUUGUUGGUAAGGUAAUGGCUUACCAAGGCUAUGACGGGUAUCCGGCCUGAGAGGGUGAACGGACACACUGGAACUGAGACACGGUCCAGACUCCUACGGGAGGCAGCAGUAGGGAAUAUUGCUCAAUGGGGGAAACCCUGAAGCAGCAACGCCGCGUGGAGGAUGAAGGUUUUAGGAUUGUAAACUCCUUUUGUUAGAGAAGAUAAUGACGGUAUCUAACGAAUAAGCACCGGCUAACUCCGUGCCAGCAGCCGCGGUAAUACGGAGGGUGCAAGCGUUACUCGGAAUCACUGGGCGUAAAGAGCGCGUAGGCGGGAUAGUCAGUCAGGUGUGAAAUCCUAUGGCUUAACCAUAGAACUGCAUUUGAAACUACUAUUCUAGAGUGUGGGAGAGGUAGGUGGAAUUCUUGGUGUAGGGGUAAAAUCCGUAGAGAUCAAGAGGAAUACUCAUUGCGAAGGCGACCUUCUGGAACAUUACUGACGCUGAUUGCGCGAAAGCGUGGGGAGCAAACAGGAUUAGAUACCCUGGUAGUCCACGCCCUAAACGAUGGAUGCUAGUUGUUGGAGGGCUUAGUCUCUCCAGUAAUGCAGCUAACGCAUUAAGCAUCCCGCCUGGGGAGUACGGUCGCAAGAUUAAAACUCAAAGGAAUAGACGGGGACCCGCACAAGCGGUGGAGCAUGUGGUUUAAUUCGAAGAUACACGAAGAACCUUACCUAGGCUUGACAUUGAGAGAAUCCGCUAGAAAUAGUGGAGUGUCUGGCUUGCCAGACCUUGAAAACAGGUGCUGCACGGCUGUCGUCAGCUCGUGUCGUGAGAUGUUGGGUUAAGUCCCGCAACGAGCGCAACCCCCUUUCUUAGUUGCUAACAGGUUAUGCUGAGAACUCUAAGGAUACUGCCUCCGUAAGGAGGAGGAAGGUGGGGACGACGUCAAGUCAUCAUGGCCCUUACGCCUAGGGCUACACACGUGCUACAAUGGGGUGCACAAAGAGAAGCAAUACUGCGAAGUGGAGCCAAUCUUCAAAACACCUCUCAGUUCGGAUUGUAGGCUGCAACUCGCCUGCAUGAAGCUGGAAUCGCUAGUAAUCGCAAAUCAGCCAUGUUGCGGUGAAUACGUUCCCGGGUCUUGUACUCACCGCCCGUCACACCAUGGGAGUUGUGUUUGCCUUAAGUCAGGAUGCUAAAUUGGCUACUGCCCACGGCACACACAGCGACUGGGGUGAAGUCGUAACAAGGUAACCGUAGGUGAACCUGCGGUUGGAUCACCUCCUU